AGUGAACGCUGGCGGUAGGCCUAACACAUGCAAGUCGAACGGCAGCACAGUAAGAGCUUGCUCUUACGGGUGGCGAGUGGCGGACGGGUGAGGAAUACAUCGGAAUCUACUUUUUCGUGGGGGAUAACGUAGGGAAACUUACGCUAAUACCGCAUACGACCUACGGGUGAAAGCAGGGGAUCUUCUGACCUUGCGCGAUUGAAUGAGCCGAUGUCGGAUUAGCUAGUUGGCGGGGUAAAGGCCUACCAAGGCGACGAUCCGUAGCUGGACUGAGAGGAUGAUCAGCCACAUGGGCUGUGAGACACGUUCCAGACUCCUACGGGAGGCCGCAGUGGGGAAUAUUGCACGAUGGGCCAAAGCCUGAUCCAGCCCUACCGCGUGGGUGAAGAAGGCCUUCUGCUUGUAAAGCCCUUUUGUUGGGAAAGAAAAGCAGCAGUUUAAUACCCCGCUGUUAUGACGGUACCCAAAGAAUAAGCACCGGCUAACUUCGUG
rnacentral:rRNA from 1 species